CCUGAACUUACAAAAAUAAUAUCCGGUAGACCGCCAGACAAUAAAAUGAAAUCUAAUAUGCAGUUUCCUAGUUAUUUGUUAUGUUUCUUUGUCUUCAUUAAAUGUGUGUAUAAUAUCUCAACUGUGUCCAAUUUACUUAAUACUUUCUUUCCGUAAAUUCAGAAUUUGACAAUAGCGAUUAAGGUGGAGUAAUAUGGGCAACAAAAUUGCUGCAACUUGCAACAAGAUUUGAUUUCUGCGCCUGUAUAAAUUGAAAUGUUUACACAUACAUUACAAAUCACGAGGCAACAUGUGUCAACAUUUCUACUUAACAUGCGUUGAAAUUAGAUUUUGUUACGAGUUGCAGCAAUUUUGUCACUCGUAUUCUGGCUCGAGCUUUAGCAACAAUGCAGGCUACCCACAUGUACGCAGCGCGUACCUAUUUUUAUUAUAUUUUUUUACAACACGCCAAAAUAGUUGAAAGAUUA